GGUAUCCUGGCUCAGGAUGAACGCUAGCUACAGGCUUAACACAUGCAAGUCGCGGGGUAACGAUAUGAAAAGCUUGCUUUUCAUAGUCGACGACCGGCAGACGGGUGAGUAACACGUAUCCAACCUGCCCCUGACACUGGGAUAGCCCUUCGAAAGAAGGAUUAAUACCGGAUGACAUCAGAAGAGAGCAUUUGACUCUGAUCAAAGACUUUGGUCGGUCACGGAUGGGGAUGCGUUCCAUUAGAUAGUCGGUGAGGUAACGGCUCACCGAGUCAGCGAUGGAUAGGGGUUCUGAGAGGAAGGUCCCCCACAUUGGAACUGAGACACGGUCCAAACUCCUACGGGAGGCAGCAGUGAGGAAUAUUGGUCAAUGGACGCAAGUCUGAACCAGCCAAGUAGCGUGAAGGAUGACUGCCCUAUGGGUUGUAAACUUCUUUUAUAAGGGAAUAAAGUCGGCCACGUGUGGCCGUUUGUAUGUACCCUACGAAUAAGGAUCGGCUAACUCCGUG
rnacentral:rRNA from 1 species